AAGUCGUAACAAGGUCUCCGUAGGUGAACCUGCGGAGGGAUCAUUAAGAUGCGCACAGCCUCUGCGCGCGGCGGCCCACCAGCUGCCGCACGCACGCCCUGCAUCCUCGAUAUUACAGCACCUUGCGUUCUCCUUCGGCGGGUCAGCCCGCCGUCGGAACCGAAACACCCACCUGUGAGCGGUAAAGGAUGAGUAUGAAUGGUCUGGCGUGCCGGACUUCGACCCCCUUUGCUCGCAGCAAUACCCGUUCCGAAACAAACAAUCGUUACAACUUUCAACAAUGGAUCUCUUGGCUCUG
rnacentral:misc_RNA from 1 species